AAUUAAUUGUAAAGUGGUUAAGGUGCAUGCCUACUAGCGUGUUCCUGAGAGCUGAUGGAGUGGAUCAAAGAUAUAAAAGGAUCACAGAAAGGUGUUCGGUUUAGCAGAGAAACUACUAUCAAUGUUAAGACCCUCUCGGAUUAGAGACUAAGGAUUGAGAAAAGGCAAUGUUCCCCUCCUUACCAAGCUCAUCGACAUCUAACAGAAAUGCAGACCAGGAUUUUCUGACUCCUAGGACAAAGCCAAUAAUUGAAAUCACUUCUGGUUACUGAUGGGCUGUCUUCUCCUGCUGCAUCCUGAUGACCCACAUACUUUGAACAGUCAGCUUAUCCCAUUAUCUAACACUUCCUCUGACAACUACCUGAAACCGAUCACCCUCAGAAAACAGCUGCUGAUGUAAGGUGGCAUGAUGUAGAUGCUUUAAAGACUAACUUGAUCAUCUAUCAAAUAAAGAUGUCACAAAAAGACAUUUCCAUGGUAAAGGAUGAGACCUUUGUCAGCUGACUCCUAGUAAAACCCCUGUGGAAUAUCAAAUCUGACUAUACCAAUUGCUAACAUGUGAUUGAUGGAUAGGCGAUCUGUUCUUGCAAACCGGGAUACGAGGUGGCAGCUGUUGAGAAUGGUGGGGACACUUGUGUGGACACAGAAACUAUACGAGAUGGCAGUUACUGCAUCCUCAGGCCCUGCCCAGAGGGAUAUGAAUGCCGAGAUAUGGAACACUAUCAGUUUGAUUGCAUCAGAGGAGCCCUUAUUGUGCCAAACUGAAUGCAGUUUUCCAUUGUUCCAAACUGGAUUCUGCAUAUUCACAGUACGUUCUUGUAAAAUUACUAUUAAAAAUUGGAGCUGACUGUAAAACCUUGAUUGGAAAAAAGAUGAAAUUCUCACAAGUUUUCCCCCAACCCCAUUUUCUUAUUAGUUCUAUUAAACGUGUACUCUGUGCAAACAUAACUGGCAUGUUACAAACAUGAGUGUCAUCCUUCCCUUGUGAGUAAAGUUACACGCAUGCUUAAGUAUUUGUGGAAUCAGGACCACAGAGUAUAAUCCUAUACAUCAUGUCAAUCUGAUUCACAUGACUUACACAACUUAGACUGAUAAGAACAGGCCUCGUGGAGCAAAAUCCUGCAGCUUUCCCAUUUACUUCAGUAGGAAUUUUGCCUGAGUAAGAUGCCAGAAUUUUGUCUCUCCGAACAAGUCUGCAUUCUUUACUCAGAGAGCUUACGGAAAGAGAGGAUAGAUUCCCUGUCACACUGUAAAUCAGGAAUAAUUCAAUUGAACUCAAUACCAGUGAGAGUGAGAUCAGAAAACUGACACCUGACAAUGACAAAUUUACCAUGUAGAGUUAUGUUUGGGGGGGCCUGAUUAUGUAGUCCUUACUCAAGUAUGGCUACUGCUUGAAUGGCAGUCUUGCCUGAGUGAAAAUGGUAGAAUCAGUCCUAUGAUAUUUGUAUAUAUUGUACUGUCUUUUCAUCAUAGCAUAACUAUUAUAAAAAAAUUCAAUAAGCUUAUAAGAAGCAAAUAUUAUCUGUGACACACAAAAAUAAACAACAAAUUUGUUUUUACUAAUUUUGGGCC
ensembl:lncRNA